rnacentral:tRNA from 1 species
GGGGCUGUAGCUCAGUUGGGAGAGCGCUUGAAUGGCAUUCAAGAGGUCGGGGGUUCGAUCCCCCUCAGCUCCACCA